AAUAGGAUAGAAUAUAUUGCAUACUCAUAAAAGGAAAAGAUUAAAAAAAAACUUCUUGUCUCCCAUAAUUUGUUUGCUAUAUAUUGUGUAGAUGCCAACCCCAAAAACUCAAAACUCGAGAGUUCAGAAUACACAACACAAAAUUUGAGUGUUAACACCCUCCUAUCCUAUCCUUUAUUUUUCUGAAAAGAGAAUAUGGCAGUUGCUGAAACAAGCACAAAGAGCUCUCAGCACAAUCGAUGCAACAGCUUGCCCUCCGCACCUAACCCUCUCAUAUCACAAUGUGAGGAGCAUCUGCAAAGAUUGCAGGACUCUGAAGCCAUUUCUUCAAUAUCAUUUCACUAAGCCUCAAACUUGACGAAUUGUUGGAUUUGCAUGACUGCACUUAUAAGUUGCUUCAAGUGCCAAUGAAACAACAAGCCUUGGCACGAGAAUGCAGUCACAAAUGCGUUGAUGACAUUCUAGAGGGGUCUUUGAGGCUCUUAGAUAUUUGCAGUACAGCUAAAGAGUGUCUAUUGAUAUUAAAGGAAAGCAUACACGAACUUCACUCUGUCAUCCGAAAAAGGAAAGGUGAUAAAACUAUCUAUUUUCACAAUUGAGGGUGGAAAAUACUUGGCUUCAAGGAACAAGUUGAAGAAGAAAAUUAGAAAGGCCUUGAGAAAUUUGAAAGCCAUGAAAAGUGAGUUUCACAAUUUUUCCAUGCUUAGCAUCUUAACAGAAGCAGAAGAGGUCACAUUGAGGUCAUUAGAAUCUUUGUUGUUGUUUAUCUGUGACCCCAAGGGACAACCAAAGCAGAGCAGAUGGUCAGCAAUCUCAAAGCUGAUGCAUCCUAAAAGUAUGGUUUAUGACUCUCAAGAAUCACGCACAAAUGAAUUUGACAAGAUAUAAAAAUUGGAGGUGUAACAAGCAAAAAGGGCA